GUUUAUGGCAGGGCUGAAGGGGCUACCUUCGGGUAGGCCGGUUUCCUUGUAUGCCGGUGGUGAUAACCCUUUCAGUCCUGUCACCAAA
rnacentral:antisense_RNA from 2 species